GAUGAACGCUGGCGGCGUGCCUAAUACAUGCAAGUCGAGCGAACAGACGAGGAGCUUGCUCCUCUGACGUUAGCGGCGGACGGGUGAGUAACACGUGGAUAACCUACCUAUAAGACUGGGAUAACUUCGGGAAACCGGAGCUAAUACCGGAUAACAUGUUGAACCGCAUGGUUCAACAGUGAAAGACGGUCUUGCUGUCACUUAUAGAUGGAUCCGCGCCGCAUUAGCUAGUUGGUAAGGUAACGGCUUACCAAGGCAACGAUGCGUAGCCGACCUGAGAGGGUGAUCGGCCACACUGGAACUGAGACACGGUCCAGACUCCUACGGGAGGCAGCAGUAGGGAAUCUUCCGCAAUGGGCGAAAGCCUGACGGAGCAACGCCGCGUGAGUGAAGAAGGUCUUCUGAUCGUAAAACUCUGUUAUUAGGGAAGAACAAAUGUGUAAGUAACUAUGCACGUCUUGACGGUACCUAAUCAGAAAGCCACGGCUAACUACGUG
rnacentral:rRNA from 1 species